GUCCACGCCCUAAACGAUGUCAACUGGUUGUUGGGUCUUCACUGACUCAGUAACGAAGCUAACGCGUGAAGUUGACCGCCUGGGGAGUACGGCCGCAAGGUUGAAACUCAAAAGGAAUUGACGGGGACCCGCACAAGCGGUGGAUGAUGUGGUUUAAUUCGAUGCAACGCGAAAAACCUUACCCACCUUUGACAUGUACGGAACCCUUUAGAGAUAGAGGGGUGCUCGAAAGAGAACCGUAACACAGGUGCUGCAUGGCUGUCGU
rnacentral:rRNA from 1 species